GUCGGGUAAGGCACGUUACACUGUAUAACUAUUUGCGUAAAUGAUACGCAUAUGAAAAUGUGAACAAAUUAAUCUGACCUUGACAUGUAUAUUUCCAAGGCGUAGUUCGCUUUAUUUUUAUCUUCAGUAACAUAAAAGAUGGCAACACGUCACGCGGUUCUUCCUCGUGCAUAUUUCUUGUUUAUUAUGGUAUUAACAGCAAAGUUUAUUCUAUUUUUUUACGUUUUUAAAAUCAAUUUAGACCACUCCUUUAUGUGAUCGCAAUACAUUCAAAUGGUAUAAAAACCGACACGAUUGGAAUAUUUCGGAAGAGUCUUGUUUUUGGCUUUCAACGUAGAAAUCAUAGGUAAGUUAUCAUUGAAUCUUAUUAUUGAAGAACAAUUAAAUCAUUCAAGAGUGCUUUCGAGAAAUUGUAUUUUGAUAUUUUCAUUUAUUGGUUUGAAAGAUUGAUAAUUUUUGAAAACUUACGAAAAACUCUGUUAAUAUCGGCAUUUAAUCAACAGUUUCUGUAAUCAAAUGGUCAACGUCCACUUGUAUUUUUAUCCACCUGAUGGUUUAAGCUUUUUUCAACUGAUUUUUAUGGUUUGUUCUUAAGUUGUACUGUUAUUCCACUGUUCCAGGUUAGGGAAGGGUUGGGAACCCACUAACAUGUUUAACCCCGCCACAUAUAUAUGUUUAUGUCUGUCCCAAGUCAGGAGCCAGUAAUUAAGUGGUUGUCAUUGGUUUAUGUGUUACAUACAUGUUUUUCGUUAAUUUUUUGUACAUACAAUGACCGUCAGUUUUCUCGUUUGAAUUGUUGUACAUUGUCAUUUCGAGGCCUUUUAUAGCCGACUAUGCGGUGUGGGCUUUGCUUAUUGUUGAUGGCCGUAUGGUAACCUAUUGUUUUUAUUUUUUGUGUCAUUUUGGUCUCUUGUGGAAGUUGUCUCACACAUCUUCUUUUUUUAAAUUCAUCCCUGAAUUGAACUGAAAUACUUAAAACUCUGUAGGUGAAACAAUAUGUUCGUAGUUCAUAGUUGAGUGUCAUUUGGUAAGGUCAUAUCGAGGAAAAGAAAAUAGGUUGCGGUUACUUUAACAUGUUCAAUUGAAACAAACCUUUGGUCAUAUGCGAUACAUUUAUUGAAUAAUAAUCAACCACCUAGUGGUGGGAAACAUACAACUUACAUUUUUUACGUCAAAACGUUUUUCUCGAUGGCGCUGUUUCGGUUUUUUUAUAUAUGUUUAACGCUGUUACACAAUUUAUCAAUUUAUCAAUUAUGGGGAUUUUCUCUGUAUCUUAUGUCAUUUCACGGAUUCAUGAUAAAGGUUAAGGGUUCAGUUUUGACAAAUUAAUGUGACUUAGAUCUAUUAAAUGCUUGCUAACCUAAUUCAUAUAAGAAUACUUUUCGUUGGUGUUUUUGCCGAAAAUCAAAAUUUGUUUUCAUAUAUUAAUGGCAGGAAAAUACUGUUAGUAUACAAAAGAAGAUGUGGUAUGAUUUCCAAUGAGACAACUGUCCACGAGAGACAAAUGACACAGACAUUAACAAAUAUAGGUCUCCACAAGGCCUUCAACUAUGAGCAAAGCCCAUACCACAUAGUCAGCUAUAAAAGGCCCAGAUAUGACAAUGUAAAACAAUUCAAACGAGAAAACUAACGGUCUUAUUUAUAUAUAAGGAUGAACGAAAAACACAUAUGUCACACAUAAACAAACGACAACCACUGAAUUACAGGCUCCUGACUUAAGACAGGCACAUACAUAAAUAAUGUGUCGGGGUUAAACAUGUUAGCGGGAUUCUAACCCUCCCCUUAUCAAUUUAGAAUUAUAGGCUUAUAAAUUUACUGACAAAAAUGGUAGAAGAUCUUGUUAUUUGACUAGGAUAAACAUAACGAAUUGAGUGUUUUCAUAGAGAUGGAGAGGGCUUUUUUUGGUGUUUUUUUUUUGUUUUUGCUUUUUGUUUUUAUUUGUAUUCUGAUAAGUAAUCAUUCGUUGUAUGUUGCAGCAUAUGCUAUUAGAUAUUCCCAUAAAAAAUAGUUACUAUAAUAAUUAUGUAAACACAGAAAACGAUUUUCAGAUACUUAAUUACAUUUUCGAAUUUUCCAAUCUAUAGUUGCAGUUUAAACGUGGUUGCGGUUGUAAGAAAAAGAAACAAUACCCACUGUGAAAAUGUUCCUUGUUGUAUAAAAUUGAGAAUGGAAAUGGGGAAUGUGUCAAAGAGACAACAACC
rnacentral:lncRNA from 1 species